AUUGAACGCUGGCGGCAUGCCUUACACAUGCAAGUCGAACGGUAACGGGCCUUCGGGUGCCGACGAGUGGCGAACGGGUGAGUAAUACAUCGGAACGUGCCCGAUCGUGGGGGGUAACGAGGCGAAAGCUUUGCUAAUACCGCAUACGAUCUACGGUUGAAAGCCGGGGACCGCAAGGCCUUGCGCGGGCGGAGCGGCCGCUGGCAGAUUAGGUAGUUGGUGGGGUAACAGCUUACCAAGCCGACGAUCUGUAGCUGGUCUGAGAGGAUGAUCAGCCACACUGGGACUGAGACACGGCCCAGACUCCUACGGGAGGCAGCAGUGGGGAAUUUUGGACAAUGGGCGCAAGCCUGAUCCAGCCAUGCCGCGUGAAGGAUGAAGGCCUUCGGGUUGUAAACUGCUUUUGUACGGAACGAAAAGCCUUCUUUUAAUACAGGAGGGUCAUGACGGUACCGUAAGAAUAAGCACCGGCUAACUACGUG
rnacentral:rRNA from 1 species